rnacentral:misc_RNA from 1 species
AUAUAUAUAUAUAUGUUGUAUGAGGUAGAGCAUCAUGCGCUCUUAACCAGAACUUGGCAAAUCAAGGAGCAAAAUUCGAUAUGUUCAACUCAGUGAGGUAUUAUUGAGGAGAAAUGGAGUUUUACUCGAGUUCUCCCACAGUGCGGUGGUCACCAUGCCAUGUGAGUUCAUCAUAUUGAACAGGAUAAUAUUAAAGUCUGGUCCUACUCAAUAAUUCAUAUCAACUAACGUUCUAUAAAGUAGAAAUAUGUAUAAUAUAAUGAAAAAGGUUUCAAUCAAAGUACUUGUCAACCUGAUUAGGAAAAAGGAUGCCAUCUAACAGUAUAACAAUGCAAUUUCUCAGACUGCGCAAUCUGAACCAACAACUAGGUCAAUUCAGAAAGAACAUUUGUGUAUGCAUAGAGAGAGAGAGAGAGAGAG